rnacentral:lncRNA from 1 species
CUUUGUGCGCCGCAUCACUCUCCAACGUGUGCUGUAUCCCUCCGCCUUGCAACGACGCCAUUUUGUCCUUGCAGGGAGCGAGCGUGCGCUGAACCGUUGACGAUCCGCCAUUUUAUACGGAGGUUACAAGUGUGUUUUGUCGAUCUGUCUCUUACCAGUUGUGUUUCCGAGCGGUAAGUUUUCACGUUAUUUUUAAUUGUGAAACGUGUUUUCAGCGUUUUCCGUUUUUGUUGCAAUCUCUGCGGGUUCGUCGAGCACGUUGCACGAAACGUGAAAGGGAUUUUAAGUUUGAACUUUACCGUUUUAUUUGGUAACCGGUGUGGAUUGAGAGUAAGGAGUUUAGUUGAUCAUAACUAGUGAUGUUUAUUUAAAUUCUGUUUUGUUUUAAACUCGACAGAACAAGCAUGGAGGAUUGGGACGAUGAAUACGUGGCGAGUGAGCAGCCAAAGCUUUCUGCCUCUUUCCUGAAGCUCAAUGUGCAGAAUAGCCAAAAUGAGGCAGAGAAAGAAUCUACCAAACCAAGUCCAUGGAUACCGGGUAAUUUGAGUGCUAGGACGACGGGCCAGUCCAGGGGCGGAUUUCCAUCCAGAGGCCGUGGAAUGUUGCGUCCAGAACAUGGAAACGAUGCCAUUGGUGACGCAGAUGUUGGAACUGGUGGAAGAUGGCCACGGGGGCGACAAAUUAGGGGAGGUUUCCCUCGCAGGAGUCAGGAGGGUGGCCAUUCAGUCUUUGAGAAAGACAAUUUGAGCAGGGGAGCAGGUAUGGGUUUGUCUUGCUUUGAAAGUACGUUCUGCAUUGGUUUCACUGGUUAUUUCUGGCUUGACUGAAUACCGGGCGGGCCGGAAGUCCUUGUG